GCUUAAGGGCCCUAUAACGACAGACUCGUCGCUAUAGGUGUUCUUGGCUUGUUCUUAAGCCUGCCUAGUAAUGCAUGUCAGUAGACAACUAGGUAGGUUUGACCAACAUUUGAUCCUAGUUCUCGUGAUAUUCUGUGCUGGAUAAAGUGUUUAGAUUGUAGUAUAAGUGCAAUACUACAACUACAUAUUAAGUUCUUGGCCAAAACAUUUCACCACUAAAAGAUCUAACCCACCAAAAAUCAUGUCAGAGCUGUUCUUCAUUUCUGGGUUUUCCAGAAAUGAAGAACAGUUGCUAGGCCUUACUUUGAAGCUUCAUUACUUGGACUCUGGGUCUGUUUUGUGAUAUCUAAUGGUCCCUACUUGUAGUCAUGAUGUCAUUGUACAAUUAUAUAGCUUCCGAUAAGCAUAACAGCAUCACCUAAACAAGAUAUGGGCCGGUCAAACGUAUGGUCAGAAGUUUUUCAUGAGAAAUCUGGGUUUCCCAGAUUUCUUCAUAAGGCAGACGGUCAAUUCUUGUUUGACCUUAAUUAUCUUCAAUUAUGUUGUUACUUUAGGCGAUAUAAUAGCAUACAAGUGUAGUUCAUAUAGCAGUCUAUAACAUUAAACCAACAACAUGACCUAAAACCUAAAACACAAGCAAGAUCACGGCCUGCAAAAACGCUGUCAGACGUUCUGGAAAUUCUGGGUUUGCCCAGAAACCAAAUUUCGUGACCGGUCAACGCAGUUUGACUGCCUAUAACAAGCGAUCUAGACAUGAUCCAACCCUGUUUCCAGUUCCAGAUCAAAGCCUACAUGGCAUAGAACAGAUCUAAAAGAUAAAACACACAAAACAUCAAACACAUAAAGAUCUAGAGGGGCUGACAUUUGACUGGUAGACAACAUUUCAAAGUUUUUCCAGAUUUUUCAAAACAUCAUUUUCGUGUAUCUUGAUGUUAUGGAUCUAAGAUAUAACAACCCAGAUCACUCAAUAACAUCUUAAUACAUCACAUUAAACAUCUAAACACAAAGUUUUACAAGAAUCAUAAGGAUUUCUAUAUUUAGGGUUUUAUACCUUCUUUGAGCUUUGAUCUAGACUCUGAUCAUCAUGAUCUGUGAUUG
rnacentral:lncRNA from 1 species